CGUUUCCUGCAGCCAAAGCCCCUGAAGUGGACAUGGAAGCAGGCAGGCCACCUGGAGCCCAGCAUGGUGCCCCCUCCUCCAGCCGUGGAUGGGGAAGAGUCCAUCCUGUGAUUCCUGAGAUCACCUAACAUCAUUUUCACCCACUCUCCAUCCAAAGGGACAGGCGCCCAGAGUUGACUGAGUCAGUGACAUGGAUGGCAUGUCAAUUUAAUUAAUAAAACAAACAAUAAAUAAAUACUAGCUUUAUUAAAAUUCUUUGCUAUUUUGUUCAAAAGACUAGGUAUAUAAAUAUUUCAAUUUGUACACUUGAGAAUAAUUAAAAUAAUUGUUAAAAC